AUUUUAUUCUCUUCCCCACCACUCCAACAGUUAGGACAGUGUCCCAGUAUCAUUUAAUGAAAAGCUACUUGUUGAACCAUUCAUUUACUCAAUGGAUAUUUAUCCAGAACCUACCAUGAACAGACAUUUUUCUAGGUCCUGGUGAUAGAUUACAUUCUAAUGGGAAGAGGCCAAUAAUGACACCUAAACAUGCAACACAUUAGAUGAUGUGAAACACGACAGACCAAGAGGGGCUGGAAUGGCUUUCUUGGUCAAGGAUGAUCAAGGAAGGUCUCUCUGAAAUGGAAACAUCUGGGUGGAGACCAGAAGGAGGUAAGAGAUGGCCCAGGCACCCAGGCAGGGAGUGCCAGGCAGAGGAGACCACAAACACUGGACCAGCAGGUGGGGUUACAUUUGGUGUAUUCAAAUCGUGGCAAAGAGGCCACUCAAACAGAAGCCGUACCACUAGUUAGGGAAAAGGAGGCCAGGAGUCAGAGGGGUGGCAGGAGUCAGGCUGUGUAGGACCUGACAGGUCAUGGUAAACACUUUGAAUUUUGGUGCUGGCUGAGUUGAGUGGAUUGCAUUUCCAAAUAUGACCUCAGCAACAUCCUCUGCACUCUGCUGCAUGGCCACGUUGCCCUGCCCCUGUCAGGAAGGGCUGUCUCUCAACCUCUGAAUCUGGGCUGGUUUGCUAAGUGCUUUGGCCAACAAAAUAUGGCAGAAGGAUGUUGUCCCAGCCCCUGUCUUGUGUGGCAGCUUCUUCUUCCUGCCUCUUAGAGAUCAUCACAGAGGGAAAAGUGCAUGAACCUCAGGACUGGUAGUCUGUUCAAACCACAUGGCGAGCCCUGGAAGGGGAGAGGUCACCAGGUGCCAGGAUACGAGUGAAGAAGCCACCUUGGAGGGGGCCCUCUAGCCCAGCCCACACUAAACCGCCCCCAUUCAUGAACCACAGGAUCUCGAGCAGAACGGAAAGGUUGUUUUAAGCCACCAUGUUUUUUUUGGGGGGGGUGCUUGAUUAUGUAGCUUGAAACAGUGAGGUAAGGAUGCCAUGGGAGGGUUUUGAGCAAUCAUCUAAUUUGACUUCAGUUUUACAAGAAUUCUUCUGUCUCUGUGCUGAGGACAGAAUAAAGAAGGGAGCGUGUUUGUGGAACAGGUGAGGGACCCAAGAAGUUGAGUGCUAAGAAGGGAUUCAAUCUAGAUAUAUUUCAAAGGACACAUGGAUGGGAUCUUCGGAUGGAUUAGAUGUGGGUUGUGAUAGAAAGAAGCGAAGGAUGGCUUCAGAGGGCAGGCCUGACCCUGGAAG
rnacentral:lncRNA from 1 species